rnacentral:rRNA from 1 species
GAUGAACGCUGACAGAAUGCUUAACACAUGCAAGUCAACUUGAAUUUGGGUUUUUAACUUAGGUUUGGGUGGCGGACGGGUGAGUAACGCGUAAAGAACUUGCCUCACAGCUAGGGACAACAUUUGGAAACGAAUGCUAAUACCUAAUAUUAUGAUAAUAGGGCAUCCUAUAAUUAUGAAAGCUAUAAGCGCUGUGAGAGAGCUUUGCGUCCCAUUAGCUAGUUGGAGAGGUAACGGCUCACCAAGGCGAUGAUGGGUAGCCGGCCUGAGAGGGUGAUCGGCCACAAGGGGACUGAGACACGGCCCUUACUCCUACGGGAGGCAGCAGUGGAGAAUAUUGGACAAUGGACCGAGAGUCUGAUCCAGCAAUUCUGUGUGCACGAUGAAGUUUUUCGGAAUGUAAAGUGCUUUCAGUUGGGAAGAAACAAAUGACGGUACCAACAGAAGAAGUGACGGCUAAAUACGUG